AUUGAACGCUGGCGGCAGGCCUAACACAUGCAAGUCGAACGGUAGCACAGAGAGCUUGCUCUCGGGUGACGAGUGGCGGACGGGUGAGUAAUGUCUGGGAAACUGCCCGAUGGAGGGGGAUAACUGCUGGAAACGGUAGCUAAUACCGCAUAACGUCGCAAGACCAAAGUGGGGGACCUUCGGGCCUCACACCAUCGGAUGUGCCCAGAUGGGAUUAGCUAGUAGGUGGGAUAAUGGCUCACCUAGGCGACGAUCCCUAGCUGGUCUGAGAGGAUGACCAGCCACACUGGAACUGAGACACGGUCCAGACUCCGGCGGGAGGCAGCAGUGGGGAAUAUUGCACAAUGGGCGCAAGCCUGAUGCAGCCAUGCCGCGUGUAUGAAGAAGGCCUUCGGGUUGUAAAGUACUUUCAGCGGGGAGGAAGGCGGUGAAGUUAAUAGCUUCACCGAUUGACGUUACCCGCAGAAGAAGCACCGGCUAACUCCGUGCCAGCCGCCGCUGUAA
rnacentral:rRNA from 1 species